AAAAGCGAAGGGAGUUUGGGGAGAGUCGAGUGCCGAUCGCACCGAUCGCGCCGAGAAGGGAAAACUGUCCCAUAAAGCGGCGACCUUCCGUCCCUCUGCACCGCCCUGCCUCCUCUCUCCUUUUCCAACUAUUACUACCGGUUACUUACCUCUCUUGUACUGUUGGACUCGUGUGUAUUACUUAACUAUGUCUAUUUACUGGUGCGAUUCUGGUUUAUAUGCUCAAAGGAACCGCGGGUUUCCAACUAACAACCUUCGAGUCGGUGCUCCUGGUGUCAACGCCGGUGGUACUACGUGAAUACUUCGACUUUGCCUCAUAAAUUGCAACAAAAGCCAUCUCUCAAAGAAUAAACCAUUUAGAUUAUGACAUUUAACUGCUACUAUUUUCAUCCAAGUUUUUAGACUGAAAGUAACGCCAUUAACUGCUACGCCCCCUGCUGCCCGAUAUGAUGCCCUCGUCCUAAGAAAUCCUAAAAUUCCAAUUAAAUGUCCCAGAAUUUACACAGAACUUAUAAAUCUAUAUUUCAUUUAUAGUUUAAUUUUUGUAUGUUAGAUGACUACCUAAAGCAGGCGAUUACACAGUUGGAAAUUACUGUGAAAUUUACUUUCAGCCUGAAAACACUGAGCAAAAACAGUAAUGAAACAAUUCACGGGAAAAAAAAAAAGAAAAACCACAACUCGUCUAGUACGUUCUACCUGUUCGUUUUUGGUGAGGUGGAGGAUUCGGUGAGCGAUUCGUCAGGCCUGUACCAAGGCCUCCGUUAUGACGUCAUCGGAUUUUCACAGAACGAUCUGGAGGAGAAUCGGAUUACACACAGGGGCUCACACACAUGUAGGAAAGGAAACUGACCAACAUCCAGCUUUGAGGUUCAAGUGCAUCACUACUGUUGCCCUACGAAAGAACAAGUGGUGGGUCUCCUGUGAUUCAUUUACAGGUUGUGGUCUGAAGAACAUAAAAAUCCAUGGCAACACAAAGCGAAGGGUGCUACUUCUGCCACUCUCCAGGACUCGGCUUGUUCCCGUUGACGAAUUAGCUGCUGCCUUUUGCUUCCUUCAUGAUGACGCACGUGAAGCACUGGACAAGAAAACAGGUGGAAAAUGGAAAUACAAUGAUGAGUCACUGUCUGCGUGUGAAAAAAUGAAAGACCUGGUGGAAGCACGAGCCGCAGACAGAGCAGACAAGAGCUACUAUUUUUUUCUCCCCGGUCCAAAUACAGUUUAUUUUAUGUCAUUUUUUAUUUUUACCCCAAACUACCAAGCCCUUCUUUCCUUUAUCAAUGUCUAUUCAAGACAUUCUUUUCAGUGCUUUGGCACUGAACCUACUGAAUUUAUAUCUAUGAGCAGAAAAGAAAACAUGAACAAACUUCUAUGAUUUACAUGUGUAAGAACUAAUACUUACAGAAUUAGACAGUAUAUUUCCAUAAAAAUGAGAUAUAUAUACUGGAGAAUGGGCGAUGGAAUAACAAGUCACAAAAAAUAAUAUCCUAGUGUUGAGAUAUUCCCUGAAAUGUAAAUCUUGCAUUGUCCCAGGAAUCUUCUACCCAGUAACAGAUUUUGCAUUCAGCCACUUUAUUAUUAAAACAAGUGCACAUAUCCAUUAUUUCUCUCUGGGUAAUUUAAACAUGCUUGUACAAAAUGAAAAGCUUCUUAAAAAUUUGGAAUUAGUAAGUUGGGCUAAUCAGUGUUUGGGAGCUCUGUUCUAUUUUUAUGUUUUCAAUGACUUUCUGUAAGGAUUAAUUUUAUUUCUUCCUCUGGGACAGUAAUUUUUUUUUAUAUUAAAUGUAAACUAAAGCAACACGCAUUAUAAGCAAGCAAUGGAGUGCUGGAUUCUGGGUUAGAAUAAUUCUUUUUAGUUGUGUGAUAAAUCUUAAAAUUCACCUACAUAGCAGCGACUUCUGAAACAGUCAACUGUCUAGCAGACCUAGCAAAAUUAAUAGCGUGCAAAAAUAUGCACAAUAAGUCAUUGUCCUAAGUCUCCUAAGUUGUGGAUGUGAGAAUGACCCUCCUAGAUGCAGUAACUGGGCCACUGUCUCAUCUGCUAAUGAGAUCUGCAAAUCACCGCGUGGGAUCCGUGGUCCGUGGGGCGGUCGGCUAUCUCCCGGAGACCACCGUCUCCCUGCCCCGCUCCCCACGGUAAAGGGACCACAAAUGGCUCCUGGCACUUCAGCUGGUGCUCCAGGAGUCGGCGGAUUAACUGAGAUCAGAAUAAUAUCAGUUCCCGUUAGAAGCCUCGGUGCUUUGGGAGUGAUCCCUGGGGGUAUGUUUUAAUCAGCAGCUAUGGCUGUAGUUUAGCAAAAUCAUCAACAUCGGUUCCUGCCUUGAGGUGGGGGCAUUUUCGGUGAGGGGGAGGUGGUGCGUCACAGGGAAAAGAGGCAGGCGUUAGUGGUCCAGCUGUGAGAUAUAGCUCACCCUUGGACCCCUGUUCAUCCUCCAGACAGGUCCAGGGCAGACGCUGGCCCCGGCAGCGGGAGCGCGACACUCCCGUGAGCCGAAGGUCGCGCGACAUCUGGCUGGCAACCCCACCGAGAAGAUGUGGUCACUUAGCAGCCCAGCCAACGAUGUGGGGUUUGAAAAACACAUCUGAAAGGAUUGUGUCCGUAGCGUAGAGGACGAAACGUGUAAAUGUUCCUCAACCGUCCAAUAAGGAUGCGGUGCCGCAGCCCUAUUUGUUGCCCCCCGUCAUCGCCUUCCUUCGGAGGGGCCCUUCUGCACGAAGCGCCUCCUCGAGAAUCCGUGCUUAAUUUUAACUGCCGCCUCCCGCUAAAGUAAAGAAUCGGUUUCCGAAGACUUUCGUUAAUCGUGGUAAGCGGGGGGCUGUGGGCCGUACUGUAUUACCUCCCUUUCAGAAACGGAGCGCUUUCACGGUCUGCACGGCAUAGGAAGAGGAAACCGUUCCGGAGAGAGGGCUGUUUACCGCCGCUGCUGGUUCUAUGUUGUCUGGUGCCGCAGGGAAAGAAAAAAAACGCAAUAACACACAAUUAUGUUUUUGCUGUAGCUGGUCUUAAAGUGCCGCAAUCAUCUCCAGAUCGCGCACGAUCAUUUUCAGUAUGAGGCAGAACUUGAAAUGCGUUAACUCCCGUUCCCCGGAUUCAAUUAAACUCUCGCAAUAACGAUAAUUUGCCAAAAAUCAGCCGUUUGCGAGAUUGCCAGCCGUUUCUUUCAGUUUCCUAUAUGACACCCAGCUACGGCACACACGCUGCUGCAUCUACUGGAUGCCGUUUUUAAGUCGACCGCAGAAAACUGCACAGCCUGGACACGGGAGACGUUCUGCAGCGCGCUGAAUUACCACCUUUAUUUCCGCUGACGGUGAACAUGCUCUACCUUGGCACGUAACUAACGGUGAAUGUGAAAUAAGCGAGCGUUCAAAGUCGGCGUGUUUUAGUCCAUCAAAGUGGAGCGCUGAAAAGCCUCGUUACCGUGUUACUUUGCAAGUACUCUCUGUAGGAACACUGUAAAAGGCUGGGUAAAAAUAAUUACACGCGCAAAUAGCUCUGGACUUGAAGAUUGUUUUCUGAGAUAAAAUCAUUAACUUGUGCGGUAUGGAUUAAACUGCCUUUGACUGGUCUUCAUCUGAGGAGAUCCAUGGACGUGAGAUUAGGCAAGCCGUCAGAGGACCGUGCGUUCCGUCCGAGGCGCACGUUACGGAUUCCGUUUUCAAAGACUCGGAGGAUGAAGGUUUUUAUGACUGCUAGAAGCACGGGAAGUGCAAUGCAGGGGGGAUAUGAUGAAGGAUCAAUACCCCGAUGGCAUUUCCCAACAAAUAAAAAGAGAUGUGAAAACGUGCGGUCA
rnacentral:lncRNA from 1 species